ACUGUCGCUUCCAUGGGUAGGCUCAGAUGUCUCCUUUCUGCCACACCAGCAGCCCCUCUUUCUAAAAAGCAACCCUGCCUAAGCUAUCUGGUGCUAGCAUGCAGUCUCAUCCAGGAAUACAUCCCCAUCAACCUCUGAAAGCUGUUUGGCAAACUAUCCUGGGCAGCAGACACAGAGAUCAUGAACGCCAGAACUACGAGUACUUCUAAGACCUGGGAGAGGAAAAAAGAAACCAAGGCCAGUGAGUCUUACUCCACACUCUACAGCUCUGGAGCCCCGGAAAGUGCAUUGGGCAGGUGGUUUACGUGUGGCCCAAUUGGUUCUGAUCUGUCGACCUCCCAACCACUGACCCCCCAUAUGCACAAUUGCAUUUUCUGCAUCCUAUGGAGAAAAAAAGAAGACAGGAAUAGCAAUCAGAAACAAAAACAGAUACAGAAGACCCCCAGUAAGACAAAAGGAAAACUGGCACUGCUAAAUCCAAUACAUCUCAUCAUCUGUGAGUCCACAAAACACAAAGAUGUUACCAAUAAAACAACUUGAACCAUAAA